ACGAACGCUGGCGGCGUGCUUAACACAUGCAAGUCGAACGGAAAGGCCCUGCUUUUGUGGGGUGCUCGAGUGGCGAACGGGUGAGUAACACGUGAGUAACCUGCCCUUGACUUUGGGAUAACUUCAGGAAACUGGGGCUAAUACCGGAUAGGAGCUCCUGCUGCAUGGUGGGGGUUGGAAAGUUUCGGCGGUUGGGGAUGGACUCGCGGCUUAUCAGCUUGUUGGUGGGGUAGUGGCUUACCACGGCUUUGACGGGUAGCCGGCCUGAGAGGGUGACCGGCCACGUUGGGACUGAGAUACGGCCCAGACUCCUACGGGAGGCAGCAGUGGGGAAUAUUGCACAAUGGGCGGAAGCCUGAUGCAGCAACGCCGCGUGCGGGAUGACGGCCUUCGGGUUGUAACCCGCUUUCGCCUGUGACGAAGCGUGAGUGACGGUAAUGGGUAAAGAAGCACCGGCUAACUACGUG
rnacentral:rRNA from 1 species